AUUGAACGCUGGCGGCAUGCCUAACACAUGCAAGUCGAGCGGAGCGGCGGACGGGUGAGUAAUGCCUAGGAAUCUGCCUGGUAGUGGGGGAUAACGUCCGGAAACGGGCGCUAAUACCGCAUACUAUCAGAUGAGCCUAGGUCGGAUUAGCUAGUUGGUGGGGUAAAGGCCUACCAAGGCGACGAUCCGUAACUGGUCUGAGAGGAUGAUCCGUCACACUGGAACUGAGACACGGGCCAGACUCCUACGGGAGGCAGCAGUGGGGAAUAUUGGGCAAUGGGCGAAAGCCUGACCGAGCCAUGCCGCGUGUGUGAAGAAGGUCUUCGGAUCGUAAAACACUGUAAGUUGGGAGGCGGUACCUACAGAAUAAGCAACGGCUAACUUCGUGCCAGCAGCCGCGGUAAUAC
rnacentral:rRNA from 1 species